AUAUGAUUGAAAUUUUAUUUUAAUUAAAAUCUUGAACUAAUAGUGAGAAGAGAAAUAUCAUCAUGGGUUGUAGAAAGUAUCUCAAAGUAUCUCAAAGUUUCUCAAGUGAGAAACUUUCUAUACUCUCUCUCCUUUAUUUUCAUUAUUUUUAUAUUUUUAAUUGUGAAAAACUCUUAUGAGAAACCCCCAAUAAAGAUGGUCUUACAAGAACAUGAAACCUUAGCAUUUACAUCGUAAUUAGACGUCUUGUGGGUUUGAAAUAUCUUCUUGUUAGAUACACUCUGCAAUAGAAGACUAAUAUGGAUUUUGGAAACCAGAAUAAAGAGAAAGUCAUAAAGUAGACUGAUAAAAACUAAAUAUGGAAAGAAAGAAAGAUUUUGAUUCAAAACGCUAUGAAAAAGCUUCGAGUCUUUUCGUACAUCAUAGAAAUUUGGAAUUGUUUUAUAGAAGAGAUAAUUAGAGAGUCGGCCAACUUCUUAUAUAUGAUUUUGUACCUUUCAAUUAAAGUAAAAGUGGGUCAAAUUCUAUACAAUCUAACCUACAUAUAUAA
rnacentral:sRNA from 1 species